rnacentral:tRNA from 1 species
CAAGACGUAGCUUUAAUUAAAGCAUUCAGCUUACACCUGAAAGAUGCCCACUAACCCUGGACCGUCUUGA